rnacentral:rRNA from 1 species
CCUACGGGUGGCUGCAGUGGGGAAUAUUGGACAAUGGGCGAAAGCCUGAUCCAGCCAUGCCGCGUGUGUGAAGAAGGCCUUCGGGUUGUAAAGCACUUUCAGUGGGGAAGAAAGCCUUGGGGCUAAUACCCUCGAGGAAGGACAUCACCCACAGAAGAAGCACCGGCUAACUCCGUGCCAGCAGCCGCGGUAAUACGGAGGGUGCGAGCGUUAAUCGGAAUUACUGGGCGUAAAGCGCGCGUAGGCGGUCUGAUAAGCCGGUUGUGAAAGCCCCGGGCUCAACCUGGGAACGACAUCCGGAACUGUCAGGCUAGAGUGCAGGAGAGGAAGGUAGAAUUCCCGGUGUAGCGGUGAAAUGCGUAGAGAUCGGGAGGAAUACCAGUGGCGAAGGCGGCCUUCUGGACUGACACUGACGCUGAGGUGCGAAAGCGUGGGUAGCAAACAGGAUUAGAUACCCGGGUAGUC